UCUCGAGCGCGCCGCUCUCAGUCUGAGUCUCUCUUCUCACCCUCUUGCCUCUCUGUUUCUCUGUUGCUAACUCUUUUUUCUGUGUCAACUGAAACUAUUUGUUUCUCAUAGUCAUAGCAGAGACCCCAUACCAAAACACCAAUCUUGUGAGUAUUGUAUUUACAGAUGCCUUCUUCAAAGGGAAAGAAGCAUUCAAAGACACAAUCAAGGUUGUCGAAUUCUGACAACUUUUCUUCACCUGUGUCACUUGAUUUUGAAGCUACUGAAGAGAUUCUUGCAAGCUCUCUUGAACUAGCUUCGGUUAAAUACCCAUCUCUGAUUGGGAACUCUGCUUUCAUUGGCCGAGUCACUGAUGUUCAGGACGACCCCAAAAGCUGUAAAAUUUGGCUUUCAGAGCCUUCCAUGGUUGCCUCUUCCUUCAUUCCUGGAUCCAUUGUGUCGGUGUCUAUUCCUCGUUUGAAGAGUAGAUUUUCAGAUGGAUUUCCUCUCAGCUCAUUAGCAGAUGAAUGUGCUAGACGUUUUGGGGUUGAUUCUUGUGGGCAGUUAACUAAUGACGCAGGGAACUACUUUGCUCUUGCAACUAUUUUUCCGUCGUCUAAGGUUAUAAAGAACGGAGUGCGAUUGUCUUCACAUCUUUCAAAUACAAUGGGUUGUCCUCCAUCAGGCAGGGUCAUAUUCAUCCACUCUGUACAAAAUCAAUCCCAAGCUGGUCUUGUAUGUGAUACAAGAAAAGCACGUAGCACGAAAGUUAAUUGCCUCUCAGUUUACGACUGCAAGGAGUUAGUUUUGCAGCUUCUUCAUUCUAACAAUAGAUUAAUUAUGAACAAUACCUCUGCGAAUUUUUCUUAUGAAAAAUCUUACUGUCAUUCUGAAAAUGGAAUGCUUGCAUCCCCAAAGACACCAUUGAAUCAAUCAAAGCUUAGUGUUUCUGAUACCAGUCCAGUAACUUCACCACGGCGUGGGGAGUCAGUAGGAAAUGUAACCAUUCCCAAUGAGUCAUCUGUUGAUUCUUUUGAUAUUGAAGAGGUUUUAGGGGAUGACAGUACAAAAAGACUUCUGCAGACAUGUGCUACAACAUGGUUGUAUUCUCGCUGUCUACUUAUUGGAAAUUUUGUGACUAUCCCAAUGCUUUCACAGCUUUGUUUACUCCGAGUGAUUGGUGCUAAAACUUUGUCAAAGAAUAAUGCUAAUCAUGAUUUGCUAAAUGAGGCUUCUGAACUAAUGGGUGGUGAAAAUGAUGCUUUUCUAGUGAAGCGAGAAACCAAAGUCUGUUUUCAUUUGUCAUCAAACCCAGCAUCUGAAACUCCGCAGAGAAGCAAUCUGUCUAGUGUGGAAUGUAAUGAUUCUAUAGCUGAUACAGGAGAUAAUAUUUCAAGAUUGGCCGGUCUUUCUAAAGAAUAUGAAAUUUUGAAGGACAUCAUAAUUUCAUCCUCUAUGGACAUUUUACCAAGUUUUGGUUUAAAACCUACAAAGGGAGUGCUUCUUCAUGGUCCUCCUGGUACGGGAAAGACUUCGUUGGCUCGACUAUGUGCCCGUGAUUCUGGCGUCAAUUUUUUCUCUGUCAAUGGACCUGAAGUUGUGAGCCAAUACCAUGGAGAAAGUGAGCAAGCUUUGCAUGAAGUUUUUGAUUCAGCUAGCCAAGCUGCGCCUUCUGUGUUACUCAUUGAUGAGCUUGAUGCUAUUGCACCUGCAAGGAAAGAUGGAGGUGAAGCGCUAUCUGAAAGAAUAGUUAGUACACUGUCAAAGUUGAUAGAUGGGGACGGGGUACAUAGAACUGGAUUACUUGUAAUAUGUGCUACCAACAGGCUUGAUAGCAUUGAUCCUGCACUCAGACGAACCGGAAGACUUGACAAGGAAAUUGAAAUAGGUGUGCCAUCUCCCAACCAACGUUUGGAGAUACUUAAUGUUCUUGUCAGUGCCAUGGAGCACUCUCUUUCAGAUGAGCAAGUCCAACAUCUUGCCAUUGCUACACAUGGUUUCGUAGGAGCUGAUCUAGCUGCCCUUUGUAACGAGGCAGGCUUCAAUUGUCUUAAGCGAUAUGUCAAAUAUAAAUACUCUCAUGAUUAUUUGCACCAAAUAUCUAUUUCUCAGGAAGGUAUUUCUAAUGGUCUAAUACUAUCUCUUUGCUCAAAAGAUACAACACGCGUAUCAAGGGAUUACUCAGAUUCCACAUCUUCAUCUAUUUCACAUUUGGAUUUGGAUUUUUCUUCAGAGAUAUCUGUGCAUGUGAAGGGAACAAAUGCAAAUGGUGAUAAUUUCCUGAAUGGCAUAGAAGAAGAAUGUGUCUUACAAGUGGCUUUUGAAGAUUUUGAAAAGGCCAGGAUGAGAGUGGGGCCUAGUGCCAUGCGAGAGGUAAAACUUGAGAUUCCGAAGGUUAAUUGGGAAGAUGUUGGUGGUCAAAGGGAGGUCAAAAAUCAGUUAAUGGAAGCUGUAAUAUGGCCUCAAAAACACCAGGAUGCAUUCAAACAGAUAGGGAUUCGACCCCCAACAGGGGUUCUGAUGUUUGGUCCUCCUGGAUGCAGCAAAACCCUCAUGGCUCGUGCUGUAGCUUCUGAAGCACGGCUGAAUUUCCUUGCUGUGAAGGGUCCAGAACUUUUUAGCAAAUGGGUUGGUGAAUCUGAGAAGGCUGUGAAAUCCCUAUUUGCAAAGGCAAGGGCUAAUGCCCCAGCAAUCAUAUUCUUUGAUGAAAUUGACAGUCUUGCUGCUAUUCGUGGGAAGGAAAGUGAUGGAGUUUCAGUUUCAGAUAGGGUUAUGAGUGAGCUGCUUGUUGAAUUGGAUGGUUUGCAUGCAAGAGUUGAUGUUACUGUGAUUGCUGCUACAAAUAGGCCAGACAAGAUCGAUGGUGCCCUUCUAAGACCAGGACGCUUUGACCGGCUGCUAUAUGUGGGACCUCCAAAUGAACCCGAUCGGGAAGAGAUAUUUCGUAUUCAUCUACGCAAGAUUCCGUGCUGUUCUGAUGUCAACAUAUAUGAACUUGCUCAUCUUUCAGAAGGCUGCACUGGCGCUGAUAUAUCGUUAAUUUGCAAAGAAGCAGCUGUUGCAGCUUUGGAGGAGAGCCUUGAUGCCUCAGAAGUAAAGAUGCAACAUUUAAAGACUGCAAUUGAACAAGUGAAGCCGACAGAAACUCAGCUUUAUCAAGAGCUAUCAGAAAAAUUUCAGAGACUUGUUAUGUCUAGCACAAACGAGAACUAAGCUAUCUGGAGUUCUCUAGUGGAUUUCCAUAAUGUGGGAUUGUUGAAACACAAUUACCAGUAGUAAUUAUCUGUAGCAAGGAUUUCGAAUCAUGACAUUUUGACGUGAUAUUUUUCUCAAACGUCGGCAAUACUGAAACUCAGGUAUAAAAGCUAUGAGAGUUGUUUAUUCCUUUUGUCUCUCAGGGGAGGGUGAAGCCUUGGAGAUUCCUCUUCCUCCUCAAGUUCAGUACCAGAACCACAUUGGAAAGAUACAUAUAGCCCUAGCCUAGAUACAUGCAAAUGAUUAUAUGAUUUUGUGGAAGUUUGAAGUAUGGUCACAAAAAUUGCUUAUGUUUAUAUUUAAGACUCUUUCUUCUUUUGGGUCCA